rnacentral:rRNA from 1 species
AACGAACGCUGGCGGCGUGCUUAACACAUGCAAGUCGAACGAGAAGCUACCUUCGGGUAGUGGACAGUGGCAGACGGGUGAGUAACGCGUGGCAACCUACCUUUCAGUAAGGGACAACAGUUGGAAACGACUGCUAAUACCUUAUACGUCCUCCGGGAGAAAGAUUUAUCGCUGAUAGAUGGGGCCGCGUUAGAUUAGCUUGUUGGUGAGGUAAUGGCUCACCAAGGCGACGAUCUAUAGCUGGUCUGAGAGGAUGAUCAGCCACACUGGGACUGAGACACGGCCCAGACUCCUACGGGAGGCAGCAGUGGGGAAUAUUGGACAAUGGGCGAAAGCCUGAUCCAGCAACGCCGCGUGAAUGAUGAAGGCCUUAGGGUUGUAAAAUUCUUUCGCUAGGGAAGAUAAUGACUGUACCUAGUAAAGAAGCCCCGGCUAACUCCG